rnacentral:rRNA from 1 species
GACAUGCAAGUGGUAGGAAGCCGAAGGUCGACCGACCCGUUCGGGGAGCUUGCACAGGUGCUGCAAUGGCUGUCGUCAGCUCGUGUCGUGAGAUGUUCGGUUAAGUCCGCUAACGAGCGCAACCCUCGCUGUGUGUUAUAUGUGUCACACGGGACUGCCGGUCUUAAGCCGGAGGAAGGUGGGGAUGAUGUCAAGUCAGCAUGGCCUUUAUAUCCUGGGCUACACACACGCUACAAUGGCCAACACAAUAGGUUGCUAAGCCGCGAGGUGGCGCCAAUCCAUAAAGUUGGUCUCAGUUCAGAUUGUAGGCUGCAACCCGCCUGCAUGAAGAUGGAGUUGCUAGUAACCGCAGGUCAGCUAUACUGCGGUGAAUACGUUCCGGGGCUU